rnacentral:misc_RNA from 1 species
UCAAACUUGGUCAUUUAGAGGAAGUAAAAGUCGUAACAAGGUAACCGUAGGUGAACCUGCGGUUGGAUCAUUAACUUUUUGCGGACUGUUUGGUGGCAAGUUCCGCUUUGCGUUCACCUCACCGUGAAGGGAAAGCGGACACUCCAUCACAAAGUUCCACCCACCUUAUGUGAACUGUUUCUGUCCUUGGUGGCGGGGCAGGAGGGAUACACAAAGUACCUUACUUUUUACCUCUUGCCUGUCAGCUUGGAGCUGUUGGCCCACAGCUCCCUGCCGUGGACAAGCCACCGCUUUCUUUCUGCAAACGUGCUUAGCUCAUAUUGUUGUUGACUGAAAACCACUUGCAGUGAAUGUCGUGACAUCACAAUGUUUUAAACAACUUUUGGCAACGGAUCUCUUGGCUCUCGCAUCGAUGAAGAACGCAGC